UUCUUGAUGUCUCAUCUGAAUGGAUGGUCAGGAGGGAGGAAUUGUCGAUGUUUGUUGACCGAAGAAUAUUUACCACCUUUCGACAACCAAAUGAACUUCAAAGAUGCUUUACAUACUGGGCAUGGGAACUUCCCAUGAACACACCAUCCGCAGAAAAUCCCAUAUGCCGGCAAGUCAUGCAGGGAGUACUGGUACCAAACAUGCAUCUUGAAGUUUGUCUUUGUAGAUCGGUCAUAUGUCCAUACCCUUUCCUCCCAAGCACGGAGCAAAUCAUCAAUCAGAGGCUCCAUGUACACACUCAUAUUAUU
rnacentral:lncRNA from 1 species